rnacentral:pre_miRNA from 1 species
CAACUACUCCCUCCGUUCGGAAUUACUUGUCGCAGAAAUGGAUGUAUCUAGACGGAUUUUAGUUCUAGAUACAUCCAUUUCCGAGACAAGUAAUUCCGAACGGAGGGAGUACUUC